AUUGAACGCUGGCGGUAUGCUUAACACAUGCAAGUCGAACGAUGAGAAAGAGCUUGCUCUUUCGAUUAGUGGCGGACGGGUGCGUAACGCGUAGGAAUCUACCUAUUAGUGGGGGACAACUUAGGGAAACUUAAGCUAAUACCGCAUACGCCCUACGGGGGAAAGAAGGGGAUCGCAAGACCUUUUGCUAAUAGAUGAGCCUGCGUAGGAUUAGCUAGUUGGUGGGGUAAAAGCUCACCAAGGCGACGAUCCUUAACUGGUUUGAGAGAAUGAUCAGUCACAAUGGAACUGGGACACGGUCCAGACUCCUACGGGAGGCAGCAGUGGGGAAUAUUGGACAAUGGGCGAAAGCCUGAUCCAGCAAUACCGCGUGUGUGAAGAAGGCCUUAGGGUUGUAAAGCACUUUCAAUUGGAAGGAAAACCUCGAAGCUAAUACCUUCGAGUUUGACAUUACCUUUAGAAGAAGCACCGGCUAACUCCGUGCCAGCAGCCGCGGUAA
rnacentral:rRNA from 1 species